GUGCCAGCAGCCGGUAAUACCGGCAGCUCGAGUGAUGGCCACUCUUAUUGGGCCUAAAGCGUCCGUAGCUGGCCGCGCAAGUCCGUCGGAAAAUCCACCCGCCCAACGGGUGGGCGUCCGGUGGAAACUGCGUGGCUUGGGACCGGAAGGCGCGACGGGGACGUCCGGGGUAGGAGUGAAAUCCCGUAAUCCUGGACGGACCGCCGAUGGCGAAAGCACGUCGCGAAGACGGAUCCGACAGUGAGGGACGAAAGCUAGGGUCUCGAACCGGAUUAGAUACCCGAGUAGUCC
rnacentral:rRNA from 1 species